rfam:Canis lupus familiaris chromosome 18, whole genome shotgun sequence.
CGGGGGAGGCCGGAUCCUGGGCUGUGUCCCGGCGCCCUGUGCUGGGGACUGCGCUGGUGGAUUCGCGCUCCCGGGCCGCGCAACCCCCU